GGCUCAGAUUGAACGCUGGCGGCAUGCCUUACACAUGCAAGUCGAACGGCAGCACGGGAGCAAUCCUGGUGGCGAGUGGCGAACGGGUGAGUAAUAUAUCGGAACGUGCCCGGUCGUGGGGGAUAACGUAGCGAAAGCUACGCUAAUACCGCAUACGAUCUACGGAUGAAAGCGGGGGAUCGCAAGACCUCGCGCGAUUGGAGCGGCCGAUAUCAGAUUAGGUAGUUGGUGAGGUAAAGGCUCACCAAGCCAACGAUCUGUAGCUGGUCUGAGAGGACGACCAGCCACACUGGAACUGAGACACGGUCCAGACUCCUACGGGAGGCAGCAGUGGGGAAUUUUGGACAAUGGACGCAAGUCUGAUCCAGCCAUUCCGCGUGCAGGAUGAAGGCCCUCGGGUUGUAAACUGCUUUUGUACGGAACGAAAAGGUUUCUAUUAAUACUAGGAGCUCAUGACGGUACCGUAAGAAUAAGCACCGGCUAACUACGUG
rnacentral:rRNA from 1 species